rnacentral:rRNA from 1 species
AGUGAACGCUGGCGGUAGGCCUAACACAUGCAAGUCGAACGGCAGCACAGGAGAGCUUGUUCUCUGGGUGGCGAGUGGCGGACGGGUGAGGAAUACAUCGGAAUCUACUCUGUCGUGGGGGAUAACGUAGGGAAACUUACGCUAAUACCGCAUACGACCUACGGGUGAAAGCAGGGGAUCUUCGGACCUUGCGCAAUUGAAUGAGCCGAUGUCGGAUUAGCUAGUUGGCGGGGUAAAGGCCCACCAAGGCGACGAUCCGUAGCUGGUCUGAGAGGAUGAUCAGCCACACUGGAACUGAGACACGGUCCAGACUCCUACGGGAGGCAGCAGUGGGGAAUAUUGGACAAUGGGCGCAAGCCUGAUCCAGCCAUACCGCGUGGGUGAAGAAGGCCUUCGGGUUGUAAAGCCCUUUUGUUGGGAAAGAAAUCCAGCUGGCUAAUACCCGGUUGGGAUGACGGUACCCAAAGAAUAAGCACCGGCUAACUUCGUGCCAGCAGCCGCCGUAA